GGAAUUUGAGGUGGACGAUUUUGCCUUCCACACACCUAGCAAUAGGUUUAAGAGAUGCAGGGACUUGGCAGACCUGCCAAAUUCC
rnacentral:ncRNA from 1 species